rnacentral:misc_RNA from 1 species
GGGCCAGCGAGAUCAUCUCAAGCCUUGCCUACCCUGACUUAUCCAUAAAGGACCGAGUUCCAGCAAGUGUCUCUCAAGCGACAUCCACCCGUCCUAUCCGUAUCUAAUAUUGAACCGAGUUCACUAUGACGGCUGGAUGGAGGAGGAAGGCCGUCUCGGCUCACCUAUGCCAAUUCCGACCUUGGGGACGCGUCCGGAAUGUCUGAAAACGGUAGGGUAACCUAUAAUUUCGACCCAAUUCUGAAAAUUUUUAUGUAGCCUGUCUGCCGACCCGAAAUUGCAGACACGAACAACUGUUGAAUUUCUUCGAAUUGAAAGUACCUACGCGAAGCCCACAACACGGGGUUAGUAUAUAAUUUUUACGA